rnacentral:lncRNA from 1 species
CACACACCUUCGUGUUUCCGUCCACAGAGCAGGACCUGGACUGCUACACCACAGUGGCACAACUCUGCCCGUUUGAGAAGCCGGUUUCCCACUGCCCGAGAGUCCGCUGUCCGGCCUCCUGUGGGGACGAGCCGGCCUACUGGGCCCCGGUGAUCGGAACCAACAUCUACACAGACAGAGGUCGUCGCCUGCAACCCUGACCCUCAUGAACACGGUGCAGCUGUGCCUCACUUUACCCAAGUGGCGUUUUCAGCUUGAAGCUUUGGUGGCCCACGUAUCCAGUUCCCACAUAUUUAAUAAUCUUUCUGGCUCUCAAGUGUGUCUGCAGAAAGAAACCAGUGACUCCCCGAGGAGCCUCCCCGGGGUCCCUGCAGCCUCGGCUGGGGCCCAUAGAGAGUCCGGCCCCACGGGGCUGCACAGUCACAAGCCCAGCAGAUGCAUGGGGGCCCGUCUCCCCCUCUCCCUCCUGCCUCUGACGCGGAUGCGUCUGCCUGGUGUUUCUGAACGGAUCCCAGACCUUCACCUAUUCCCUCAGCCGUCUAGGGCCGAGGGAUGUGGAGGCCUGGCAAUGUAGUCAUGGCCCCAGAUCCUGUGGGUGAUCUCGCUGCAUCACCUGCCUCGCUGUGG